rnacentral:rRNA from 1 species
ACGGCUCAGUAACACGUGGACAACUUGUCCUUUGGACCGGGAUAACCCCUGGGAAACUGGGGCUAAUACCGGAUAGAGCAUUGAUAGCUGGAAUGCACGAUGCUCGAAAGCUGAGGCGCCAAAGGGUAGGUCUGCGGCCGAUUAGGUUGUUGUUGAUGUAAUGGAUCAACAAGCCUUCGAUCGGUAUGGGUUGUGAGAGCAAUAUCCCAGAGAUGGGUUCUGAGAGAAGAACCCAGGUCCUACGGGGCGCAGCAGGCGCGAAAACUUUACAAUGUGCGAAAGCACGAUAAGGGAACUCUGAGUGCCUCCAAAGGAGGCUGUUCAGGUGUCUAAAAAGCAUCUGAAGUAAGGGCUGGGCAAGACCGGUGCCAGCCGCCGCGGUAACACCGGCAGCCCAAGUGGUGGCCACUUUUACUGGGUCUAAAGCGUUCGUAGCCGGCCAUGUAAGUUCCUUGGGAAAUUUGACCGCUUAACGGUUAAGCUUCCAGGGAAUACUGCUUGGCUUGGGACCGGGAGAGGUCAGAGGUACCUCAAGGGUAGGGGUGAAAUCCGUUAAUCCUUGGGGGACCGCCAGUAGCGAAGGCGUCUGACCAGACCGGAUCCGACGGUGAGGGACGAAGGCUAGGGUAGCGAACCGGAUUAGAUACCCGGGUAGUCCUAGCUGUAAACGAUGCGGGCUAGGUGUUGGCAUUACUGCGAGUGAUGCCAGUGCCGAAGGGAAGCCGUUAAGCCCGCCAUCUGGGGAGUACGGUCGCAAGGCUGAAACUUAAAGGAAUUGGCGGGGGGGCACUACAACGGGUGGAGCCUGCGGUUCAAUUGGGUUCAACG